CAAAAUGUAUCAGGUUAUGUGCAGUUUUAUUUUAUGGCCAUUUUACCUCAAUCAAGCUGUAAAAAAACAUAAAUAAAUAUUAAAGCCUCAACACAGAACAAAAGGAUCAGCAUCAUACGGCUCUUCUAGGCCUCACACUUACAUUGGCAGCAGUAGCUACCAACUUAUUAAAAGCCUCCCAUCCAGCAGGCAGUGUGUGAGGAGCUGCCAUUUAAUCUUCACAACCAACCACCUGCCAUCUCUUCUCUCCUAGAAGAUUUCCUGGACUCUCCUUUAUGCCACCACUAGAUUUUACACACACUUCUGCGAUAGCAUUCAUCAUUCUCAACUGCAAUUAUUUUUUUAUAUGCCGAAGUUCGCUGAGAACAGUAUUAUGCUUGUUUACCUUUAUAUCCCCAGGGCCUAGCAUGAUGGCCGAAAAAUGAAUCUCUAAACCAGAGAAUAAAUUGUUAGAAUCUGUGCGGAGAUUUUCUUGUGAAGGUGCAUACAUUCUAGCUGGCGGGCUUACAGUGUUGUAAAAUGUCUUUUUUUCUCUUGGACCCCCACAAUACAAACUCUGCCAAAACAAUUUUAAAAGCUGAAGAACAAACUAAAUCAGAAUUUAAGAGGUCGUAUUUUAAAACUCAUACUCCAGAGAUUUUUCACAAAGCUUCUGCUGGGGAAAAAAAAAAUUAACUUCUGACUCUGUUGAUACCACAGUGUUCAAACCACAACUUUGUUUGAAAAACCGUAUUUGAUACUAGGUUGCUAAACAGUCUUUUUCUUUUUUCUGUAAAAGUGCCUUAAGCGGUUACCACAAAGCUCAGGCAAUUUUUUCAGUCAGAAGAUUGCUGAGAGAUGUGGUUAAACUGUGAGAUGAAGAACAGAGAGCUGACAGCCUGCACAGCAGUUGAAAGACUGCUGUGCACCAUUGCAUCCCUCACCCUGACCCAGAGACGAUGCCAAGCAUACAACAGGUGAUCAAGGUCAACAUCAACAGUCAUAAUCAGGUUGAUAGUAUGUUCUGCUGAUAAGAGAUGUGAUGAAAAUGGCAUUUUUCCUCUGGGAUUUUUCUCCCCAAAACCCCCAAUCAAGAGAAAAACAUGAAAGAAAUUCCAAGAAAGUGGUAUUCUACAAUAUACCUGACUGAUACUCCUCAAAACCCUCAAGGUCUUUAAAAACAAGGAAAGUCUGAGAAACUGUCAUAGGCAAGAGGAAACUAAGAAGACAUGACAACUACAUGUAAUGUGGUAUCCCUGGAUGGAAUCCUGAAACAGAAAAAGGACAUUCAGUAAAAAACUAAGGAAAUCUGAAUAAACUCUAGAAUUCAGUUAAUAAUAAUGUAUCAGCAAUUGGUUCAAUAAUUGUAACAAAUGUACAAUACUAAUAUAAGAUACUAAUAAUAAGGAAAACUGUGUAGGAGGGUAUGUGGGAACUCUGUACUUUCUGCUCAAGAUUUCUGUAAAUCUAAAACCGUUCUAAAAAAUGAAAAAUAUGCAGUGGAACUCACUUUCGUGUCUUUUUUUGGUUGAGUUUUUCUGGUUUUUUUUUUUUUUUGAGAAGUGGUUUAUAUUUACCUGUUGAGCUUUAUUAUGAUAGAAGAUAAAGGAACUUCUAUCACGAUAGGAGAAAUUUAAAACUUUGGAGAAGACAAAAUUGUGAUUGCUUAAAUUUUUCAUAUCAUGCUAGAACAUUUUCUAAUGAGCCAAUGAAUUAAAGUGAAACUUUGUUCCAGAGAUACUUGGCAAAUAUAACUUUGUUAUCUUGGUAUAUCUGAACAACUAACAGCAAGUAAGGGUGCAAUGAAUUUUAUAGCCCUGCAAGGUUAACGAAUGCUUAACUUGCACAAACAUUUAACAGAAUUUUAUAACCAUAAAGAAACUUAACUGUUAAGGUGUCAUAGCUUAGCAGAUCUGCUAACAAGUCUUGCCCGUAAAACUUAGGAAUACACAGAAAAGCUCAGAGGAAAAAAACAAAAUCCCGUCAUCAUCGUACAACCCUAAAAUAAUUCCAGGACUUUUAAAAUGCCCACCACAGCUGCUUGUCAAAAACAAGGAUAUGGGCAAAAGGCUGUAUGUAUUAAACUGCUCACAGGAAAAUCACCACCUCUUCCAAGGACCUUAGCCCAACACCCAUGCUGGAAUCAGUUUCCUGUAAGACUGGAGGUGCUAAAAGCCUCAUUUCCUCAUCUAUAAAAUGGAAAUGAAUCCAUGGGGUUAUUGGGAGGUUGUUUUAAGGUUCAGCCAUGUCAUAGCACGUACCAGAACUUCAUUUCUCCUCAUGGCUGAAUAAUACUCCAUUGUAUAGAAUACUAAUGUUACAAAUUGAAUUAUGUUCUCCCCAAAUAUGUUUUAAAUCCUAAUCCCUAUACCGGUGGUUAUAAUUCCAUUUGGGAAUAGGUUUUCUUUGUAUGUUAAAGAGACCAUAUCAGUGUAGGGCGUGUUUUAAUCCAAUUACCUUUGAGAUGUAAAACGAGCAGAUUAGGACAGUGAAGCAAGCAGAGGGAGAGGACAGAUGCCAUGCAACAUGAAGAUCACCAAAGAGCCAAGGAAUAAGGACCUUCUCCCAGAGCGAACAGAGAUAAAGCCUUCCCC